GGGGCGUUAGCUCAAUUGGCAGAGCGCUGCCUUUGCAAGGCAGAGGUUACCGGUUCGACUCCGGUACGCUCCA
rnacentral:tRNA from 2 species